UGAAUUUUAAGCAUAUCACUAAGCGGAGAAAAAGAAAAUAACAAUGAUUCCUAGAGUAACGGCGAGUGAAAUAGGAAGAGCCCAUAGCCGAAUUCUGCUGUCCUCGAUGGCAGCUAGAAGUUGUGGCGUUGGGAACUGUCUAUUGUAACCGAUCGGCCGGGCUACGCGACUCCUCUUGAUUGUGGUUUGCCCAUAGCAGGUGAAAGGCCUAUUGGUCGUAGCCUCGUGCUGAAGGCCGGCGGUGAUGACAGUCCUUAGAGUCGGGUUGUUUGGGAUUGCAGCCCGAAGUAGGUGGUAAACUCCACCUAAGGCUAAAUACGAUCGCGAGUCCGAUAGCGCACAAGUACCGUGAGGGACAGUUGAAAAGAACUUUGAAGAGAGAGUUCAAAGUACGUGAAACCGUUCAGAGGUAAACGGGUAGAAAGUCGAAUUGAAGGUUGACAAUCAGACCGUUGGCAUAGUCGGGGUUGGGCUGGUAGCACGUUAAAGGCUGCCGGUUCGCUCGUAAGGCUGGCUACGGUUGUAUUUGUUGGCUUUACAUCGCCGCGACGACAGUCACUGACCGGCUGGCACGUGCCCCUCUGGUCGACGUGGAUCCGUAUGGGUCUUCUCAACGUCGGCACAAGGACAGGCGCCCCGCGUACAUGGCACAGUCGAUAAUAUACAGCGAUAUAAGCGUUCCAGCUGAUUGUCGUUCGUCUUGUAUUGGCAGGCCGAUCUUAAACAAGCUCGACUGUUGACAUCAGGGCGGCGGCAGUUGGUUUAACGACGGAACAAGCAUCGCAUUGGCGGCGUUUGACUACGAAUUAUCUACCUGACCCGUCUUGAAACACGGACCAAGGAGUCUAACAUGUGCGCGAGCCAUUGGGAUUUAAUAUAAUAAACCCAAAGGCAAAGUGAAAGCAAAAAUGGUGAGAUCCGUCGUUUAUUUGUUAAGAAUAGCGGCGGCGCAUCAUCGUCACGCUUCAAUUCGGCUUCGGCUGAAGAGGCGCAGACUGAGCGCACAAGUUGGGACCCGAAAGAUGGUGAACUAUGCGUGGCAAGGUCGAAGCCAGAGGAAACUCUGGUGGAGGACUGUAGCGGUUCUAACGUGCAAAUUGAUCGUGCUAACUGCGUAUAGGGGCGAAAGACUAAUCGAACCAUCUAGUAGCUGGUUCCCUCCGAAGUUUCCCUCAGGAUAGCUGGCACUUUCGGAGAGCAGUUUUGUCCGGUAAAGCGAAUGACUAGAGGCCUUGGGGACAUAACGACCUCAACCUAUUCUCAAACUUUGAAUGGGCAAGAAGAGUGACUCACUUAACUGGAGUCGCUUAAUGAAUGCUUGAGUGCCAAGUGGGCCAUUUUUGGUAAGCAGAACUGGCGCUGUGGGAUGAACCAAACGUCUAGCUAAGGCGCCAAAUGCUAACGCUCAUCCGAUCCCAUUAAAGGUGUUGGUUGAUAGAGACAGCAGGACGGU
rnacentral:rRNA from 1 species